rnacentral:rRNA from 1 species
GAUGAACGCUGGCGGCGUGCCUAAUACAUGCAAGUCGAGCGAACAGACGAGGAGCUUGCUCCUCUGACGUUAGCGGCGGACGGGUGAGUAACACGUGGAUAACCUACCUAUAAUACGGGGAUAAUCUCGGGAAACCGGAGCUAAUACCGUAUAACAUGUUGAACCGCAGGGUUCAACAGUGAAAGACGGUCUUGCUGUCACUUAUAGAUGGAUCCGCGCCGCAUUAGCUAGUUGGUAAGGUAACGGCUUACCAAGGCGACGAUGCGUAGCCGACCUGAGAGGGUGAUCGGCCACACUGGAACUGAGACACGGUCCAGACUCCUACGGGAGGCAGCAGUAGGGAAUCUUACGCAAUGGGCGAAAGCCUGACGGAGCAACGCCGCGUGAGUGAAGAAGGUCUUCGGAUCGUAAAACUCUGUUAUUGGGGAAGAACAAAUGUGUAAGUAACUAUGCACGUCUUGACGGUACCUAAUCAGAAAGCCACGGCUAACUACGUG